CCUCCUUUUUAGGGAGCCUUGUAGCCCGGCUAAGGCCGAGGCUACCAGACCCUGAUUUAUUUAACCCCGCUCAUUUGAGCAACCUUAGAACACUCUCUUCUUCACUUCUCUAUCACUCUUGAGUUGUUAAGGCUCAGGUAGAACGUUAAAAACUGAAUAGGAAGGGUAAAGAAACAAAAGCCGAGGAAAACGUGUGAUUAAGCUACAAAGG
rnacentral:tRNA from 1 species